rnacentral:rRNA from 1 species
UUUUGGACAAUGGGCGCAAGCCUGAUCCAGCCAUGCCGCGUGAGUGAAGAAGGCCUUCGGGUUGUAAAGCUCUUUCGGCGGGGACGAAACGGUUCGUGCUAAUACCACGGACUACUGACGGUACCCGCAGAAGAAGCACCGGCUAACUACGUGCCAGCAGCCGCGGUAAUACGUAGGGUGCAGGCGUUAAUCGGAAUUACUGGGCGUAAAGCGUGCGCAGGCGGUUUGUUAAGACAGGUGUGAAAUCCCCGGGCUUAACCUGGGAAUUGCGCUUGUAACUGGCAGACUGGAGUGUGGCAGAGGGGGGUGGAAUUCCAAGUGUAGCAGUGAAAUGCGUAGAUAUUUGGAGGAGCACCGAUGGCGAAGGCAGCCCCCUGGGCUAACACUGACGCUCAUGCACGAAA